AUUGACCGCUGGCGGCAGGCCUAACACAUGCAAGUCGAGCGAGCGGAGGACGGGUGAGGAUUGUAUGGGGCACUGCCCGAUAGAGGGGGAUAACUACUGGAAACGGUGGUUAAAACCGCAUACCAUCGGAUGAACCAAUAGGGGAUUUGCUUGUAGGUGGGGUAAAGGCGCACAUAGGCGACGACCGCUAGCUGUUCUGAGAGGAUGAUCACCCACACUGGGCCUGGUACACGGCCCAGACUCCUACGGUAGGCAGCAGUGGGGAAUAGUGCACGUUGUGCGCAAGCCUGAUACAUCCAUGCCGCGUGUAUGAAGAGGGCCUUCGGGUGGUAAAGUUCGUUCAGUCGGAAGGCGUUGCCGACAGAAGAAGCACCGGCUAACUCCGUACCGGCAGCCGCGGUAAUUC
rnacentral:rRNA from 1 species